CACACACCGGAGUCCGUUUCACCGUCACGCCAGAGACUCGAGCCCCGCUGCUGUUUCCGGUUCACUACAGUCCGAACAAACGCGCAAACGUCCCGAUGCGAGGUGAUGCGGAAAGAAAAUAGUUUCUGCAUGAAGCGGCUGACAGCGAGGGCUGUGGAUCUUCUCGAGUUCUGCUGAGAGAAGAGGCCGACGCCUCCAGAACCUUCAGGUGGAUCAACAGAACCACAGUAACUGUGACACUUGAACGCACCGUGCAGACACCAGCUGAGCGCCAUCAUGGCCGAAAGUCACAGGAAAUGAGCCGACAGUGUGUUCUCUGAACAACAUGAACAAACAAACUACAGAAGCUGGACAGCCAAUCGGCUGCUGCGAACAGCCAGCACAGCAGCAGGUGCGAAGCCGGAC